rfam:Spinacia oleracea complete chloroplast genome
UUGAGCUGUACGAGAUGAAAGUCUCAUAUACAGUUCUUAGGGGGGUUUAAUAGUUUACCUAUCUCAAU